ensembl:lncRNA
UGACCAUAUUUAUAUACAGAACCAUAGUAAUUUAAAGAAGAAUCAUGGUAUUACCAUAGCACACAUCCAAAAAAACAAAAAACAAAAAAAAACAAAAACACUUUUAUUACUCUUUUCUAUCCAUUCAAAUAUCUAUCCAUCCUGAAUUCUGAAAGUACUGUGGUGAAAACAUGGUUUUGAAUGGUGGCAAACAUGGUACUCCAUUAGAAUAGAUAGAUUUUUCAAAUAUUACCAUCUUAAAAAUAAGGUAUCACCAUGGUAGCUACACGCACAAAUUAUGGUAAAAUCACGAUACUUUUUAAUUAACGUAUGAUGAUGAUGACAGAAAAAGAGUAACUUUACCUUCUCCGCUAAUAGUUGUUCACCUUCGCGUCCAUCAUCAUCAUCAUCAGGUUGGUGAAUUCAGGCGCGCUUUCGGCUGAGCAUCAUUGGACCCGCUCGGCAGCACCGGGGCUUGUGGUGAUAUGUUUGAUCUGAUGAUAUGACGAGUUUGGUAUUAUUAAAUGAUCCUCCGUGUUCAUCACAUUCUGAUUCACGCGCAACUUUCCCCACGCGACACAAACUCUUGUGUCACUGCGUGCGCAGGUGCAGGCUGGAAAUAAUAUCUUAGCCAAAUCGAAACAAACCGGUAACUUACGAAUAUUUUGUACUGAAAUAUAAAAUCAAAUAGAAUUUUUCAGAUCAAUCAUUCUUUGUCGCGGUUAUACGCUACAAUAAAAAUAACUGAGAAUUAUAUAUAAAAGAAAUGGAACACACGAACAUGCAAACACUGAAAUAUGUAACUGAGCUCAAAAACGAGACUGAAAUCACGAGUGGAAGUGUUGAAGACACAGCCCACAUGAGGCGCGCGCUGGAGCAUUGCCUGCGUUUCACGUGAUAUCCGCUGGAUGUCGCCAGAGGAGAGAGAGAGAGAGAAAAAGCGCGCGAACGAGAACGACCGUUAGAUGAUAGACAGGUCGUCAGACGACAGACAGUUACGCUAAAGAUAACUAAAGCGUGUUUUAACAUUAUAAAAUGCUUUAAAAGGAUUAGUGUAAUUUACAGACUCCAUUUGGUCCACAGCAGGAACACGCUAAAUGGACAUUUUGGCAUCCUGUCGUUUCCAGAUGUAAGAUUUCCACAUGGAAAUCCUUCCCGAGGGACCCACAAGAGCUUCUGCAUGAAGAAGUGGCUGGGAUGCAAGCUGUUCAUGGCUUCAUCAACACAACAAUGGCUGUAUGAUUCAGUGUCUCGAGAUGCCUGGAGGAAGUGACAUUUUGUCAGUGCCAGCCUGGCUGUGACCCCUGCGACCUGUUGAAUCAAAACCAAGAAGAGGUUACAGCCUCUGUGAUGGAGACAGAAGACAUGAAGAAAUAAAUACAGUAAUUUAACUUUAACAAGCUUUUAGGAUCCAAUCAUAAAAAAAAAAAUAAAAAAAAAAUUUGCUGUAUGAUGGUGGCUCUAGACAAUUACAGAAAAUAGGCACAUAAUCAUCCCGAUGGCAGAGAGAGACUGUAAUUGUUCCUUUUUUAACAAUCAGAUCAAGUCUUAGCUAAAGCACAACUAGAAAAUACUUUCUAUUUGUAAUUACUGUAUUAUGAUUAUGUUGCCCUUUCAUAGCAUUUAACUGAAUAAUUUAUCUCAUUUUUGUUAUGCAACACAAAAAGUGAAUAUUUGAAGAAUCGUUGUCUUUUCCAUACAAGGACGGUUCAAACAUUAAAAAAUAAAAGUCAUAACUCAGAAUAGUAGUUUAUAUGAUAGUAGUCCAUAGGCACAUUUCCAUUACAUACUUGCGCAAAACUUCAGCGAUAUUUUAUAAAUGUCGAUUAAAAAAGUAUUGCGAAAUGACGGCGUUUCCAUUUACCGAUGUUAUGCGACUAAAAGCGUAAUUUUUUCCUGUCGUGAUAAGUCAUGGUAACGGAUUUUGAUGGGAUUUUGACAGAUUUUGGCUACACUAGCCAUUUUAUUUAAUCGAAGGAGGUGUAUCUUGACAGAAGCAGCGAUGUGGCGCGACCGCAGACAUGUUCAUUGUAAAUAGUCUAAGCAUUAAUGGCAGGGAAAGCCCCUUAUACUUGAGAGCUGCCACAUAUGAAGUGUUUCUUGAAGGUUAUAGUACAUUGAGGAAUGAUCAUUUGACUUUUUACGUACGCCAUGUGACCUGUUAAUGCGAAAAAAACGUUUCCAUUGCAGUUUUGCAAAAUAUUCUAAUUGCCUGAAAAACCACCUCAUGCAAGCUUAAAAACUUUUUCUUUUUUUUUUUUUGCAAAAUUUAUGCAUUUCCAUUAGGUGUAUUUUCAAUUCCCAGUUUCAAUUUGCACAAGUCGAAAGGUAAUCGAAAAGCGUCUCAUAUCAUAUGACUUCAGAAUAUGUAUUUUUUUUGAGCUUGACAGAUGAACAUGUAAAUUAACUCUCAGCAAUGACUAAAAUUUCUACUUUUCGGUGUCAUUGUCUUUUCUGUCAUUGUCUUUUACUUUUCUGUAAUUCCUUAGAAGUAAAAGAGACACAAACGAGUCAAUAGUUCUCAUAAAGUAACGGUAUUGAUUUCUAAAAUAAAUUAAUUAGAAA